AGACCUAUGAAGGUCGAAGGGGAAGAAAAGCUGUAUCGAUUGUUGAGAUCUGGCGACUUGUUUAAAUUUCAUCAGCCUCACUUCUAUGAACUCUCAGAGCUGAUUACCAACUCCUACCACUGUUAACCCUCAUCCAGGAACAAGCUUAUGUCUUUAACAUUCUGAGUGGGCUUCAGCAUCCUUGCAUAUGUUCAAUUCUUAAAAACCUGUUGAAAUAAAAGAUCAGGAGACAUAGGAAGGAUGCCAGAAGAGAGCGUGGCCUCACGUGUACCAGCUCUCUGCUCUCCUUUGCCUUGGGACGUUCCAUCCCUGGAAGUUUCCCUGCCCACAUCUUUGUAGAGAGUCCAUUCUCCAAGCUUCAGUGUGUCAUCUGUGAGGACCGUGACCCACCUGGUACAUCGCCUCAGGGCAUUCAUUUCAGGCUCCUUCUAAAUGGCCAAGGCACCCUUGGAAAUGCAAUGCUACAUCUCAAUGGGAUUUUCCAGUACAAAGAUUCUUUUCAAAUAACAUAAUUGUGGAUACACACCACUCCUACAGUGGUAAACCUCAGGUUCUCCUCCUGCCUUUUGCUAAGUAUAUGUCUUGAUGACAAGCCUUCUGCUGAUGAGCUGUGUUUCUGGACCGAUCAUGGUAGAAGUCAAUUAACGUGUCCCUCACUUGGGGUUUCUCAAGGCUGCACUGAUGAGGAAACUGAAACAGAAAAUCCAGAGUAAAUUCCACCAGGCCACACAGCAAGGUCUGAUAGAGCCAGGAGAGACUUUAUGAAAUCCAGACUCUCACACUAAUGCUCUAUCAGCUAGACCUCCAUGUGAGUCUCCCCAAUGUAGGUAGGAAGUGCUUUCCCUAAAAUGCUCAUAAAGCAAAUCAGAGCAAUGCUGCAUUCCAUGUGAUUUCUAAUUUGAAAUGCAAACAAUUGCCAAUUUGUUUGACUUGUAUUUAUAAUUAUUUCCUUGUGAAUUACUCAUCACUAAAUGCUUUAUAAAUAUUUUCUCUUUUUUUCCUCAAUGUCUAUGGAAUGAUCACAGCAUAGAAAAUGUUGGCUUUCAAGGAUUUAUUAAUAUCUCCUUUUGAAAUAACAUGUAUUUGUAAGACAGAAUAAAAUCACUUUAAAGAAACAAA
rnacentral:lncRNA from 1 species